rnacentral:lncRNA from 1 species
UAUAGAUAUUAACUCAUUCAUUCCCAUCUAACAGAUGACAAAACUGAGGCUUAGAGAGGUUAAGUAAGUUGUCCAGGAUUAUUUGGGCAGUCAGUGGCAGAGCUGAAAUGUUGCCUGUCCUGCAUUAGGAAUGUUUAUGUGUUCCCCCAAAUUCAUUUGUUGAAGCCCUUAAUCCCCAAUGUGAUUAUAUUUAGAGGUGGGGCCUUUGUGAGGUAAUUAGGUUUAGAUUAGGUCAUCAGAGGGGGACCCUCAUGAUGGAGUUAGAGCCCUUGUAAAAAGAGGAAGACGAAUCUUUCUCUCUCUCUCUCAUUCUCUUUCUCCCUCAUACACAAACAAAAGGAAGGUCAGUUGAACACACAGCAAGAAGGCAGCUGCAAGUCAGAAAGCAGGUCCUCACCAGGAACCAAAUCUGUUGGCACUUUCAUCUUAGACUUCCCAGCCUCUGGAAUGUUAUACUCUCCCAGAUCCCCUGGUCAACCAUUAAUGGCUCAUGGAAAGAUCACGUUCAUUUCACGUUAAAGCUUCUCUUCAUAAGGCUCGACAUCAACCGCAAAGCUGGAAUCUUAUAGGAAGGAAAGAGUUUAAUAGCCUUAAGCAUUCUGCAGGGAUAAGAGAAAAGUGAAGUAUGAAGUUUUCUUGGUGUUAGUGACCCUAAGCAGCUCCAAAACAGGAUUCACUGACCUUUAGGCAUAGUUUUCACAAGGGAAGUCAGCAGGUUCACAUCCAAGAGAUUUUGGUGGCUAUUCAUUACAGUCUAGAAGAGCCAUGCUGUCUUUGCAUACAGAGACUAGCAGGUGCCUGAUGCAAAGCAAUGCCCCUUGGGAGUCAAGCUUCACCAAGGACUUCCAUGCUUGUUUGGAUGGCUGGAUCUCGACAUUGCCAAGUUGUGUAUCCUCCCCUCCUCUGCUUUUCUUUCCUUUCUAUCCAGUCUAUGAUAGAUGUACCACUCUAACCUCACUCCCCCAUCACUCAUACGUCUUACUUCCUAUCUUUCAUGUAUUGAAUUUGUGAAGAUCUGCUUGAGCCAUCAAGUAAUAGCAUCACCUAGGUCCUUCAGGGCUUCCUACCUUUUCAAAGAGCUUGCAGAGGGCAGCUGUCAGUCUUGACCCACCAAUGAGAAAAUACUCACACCCAGAUUCCUAAGUCCAUGGCAAAAAAUAUCUUUCAUCCACGGGCAUUCCUAAUUCCAGUGGCCUUUAGAGCAGCAAACCAGUGAUGUCACCACAAACUUCACCAUCAAAAAAUCUGUUCCAAUUCUGAAGGCUUUUUGGGGAGAGGGACCUAGGAAUGUGUCUCACUCGCAACUAUGUAAUCUGAGUUGUAGGAAAAUUCCCUUUUCUAUUAUCUUAACCAUAGCAGAUGCCUCCUAAAAGGGGCACAUGCCCUUCUAAUAACCAGCAGGAAGAAAAUAUAGGAACCACUUUGAACAGCAUAUACAGUUUCUUUGUAAUCUGACCCUCAUCCAACCAUGCCUCAGCUGCAGUCACUCCUUGCCUUAUACUUCAUUCUCCAACAACUCAAAGUCUCUGAUAGAUUCUGGAAGCUCUGGCAGGUCUUCAUGCUUUUGACCAUGUUGUUUCCCCUGCUUUGAAAGACCUCUCCUGCUCUUAUCCGCCUGGCAAACUCCUCUCUGUGCACCAAGCCUCAGCUCCAAGGCUACUUUCCUUACUCUCCCUAGCAGAUAUAAAGCUUUUCUCCUUGAGGACUGCACCGUUCUUGGCCUAACCAUCAUCACUGUUGUUGCUUGAAUGUUUGUGUUCCCCCCAAAUUCCUAUGUUGAAACUUAACUCCCACUGUGAUCGUAUUAAGAGGUAGGGCCUUUGGGAGGCGAUUAAGUCAUGAGGACAUCCCCUCACAAAUGAGGUUAGUGUCCUUACAAAACAGACUUGAGGGAGCCUGUUUGUCCCUUUGCACUUCUGACAAGUGCAGACACAGUUUAAAAGCACUCAUCUAUGAGAACAGACCACUACCAGACACUGACUCUGCUGGUGCCCUUGAUCUUGGACUUCCCAGCUUCUAGAACUGCCUUCAAGAAGAAAUGAUAUGUUGAAUGAAUGAGUUAGAGAAUAUGUCAUUUUAAGCUGUAUAAAGAAAAAAAGAGAAAUCUGAAAAUCAAAUUGGAUAAUUCAUAUGGCUGAGGGCCAAGAAAUAAGAAACCCAUGCAUCUCAGAACUUUGCUUCAACAUCAAGCUGACAUUAAGUGACUACAAAGACAUAAUAGUUUUCCAAAAAUUCACUCGAUGUCAGCCCAGUUGUCCUCAAACACGAGAGCGUUCAAGUGCUGUGCUCCUCCAUGUGAAGAGAGAAAGAGGACCCAAAAUGAGGUUAACCAAAUGCUUAGCCAGGAUCAUCAGACAAUUGUGACCCAACAUGACAUUAGGAUAGAGAAGGACUCAUAGAGAAUGAACCCAAACCCCAUUAAAAUUAUCUUUCCUGGA